rnacentral:misc_RNA from 1 species
GCGCAACAUCCCCAUCAUUCAUCAUACAACCGCCUCCUCUCCUCUCCUCUCCUCGCAUCUGUUUUUCUUUCUGCCUAUAAAUAAAUACUCGCAUUCUCUCGAUAACUCCUCCAUCUGCUUCCCACUGAUCUAUUAUCAAAAGAAACUGCUUCCUAUCUAUCUCAUCUCGCAAAUUUGCAAUGGGCAAAAAGAAGAACAACAACAACGACCACGACCACGAUCACAACAACGAAGGGGAGAAGAAGGAGUUAGUACAAAAGAAGGAAGGGGGCGACGGUAGAGACAAGGAGGGGGGAAAGAAUCCUCCGACCGUGGUUCUCAAGAUUGAAAUGCACUGCGAGGGCUGUGCAUCUAAGAUAACCAAAUUCGCUCGUGGCUUGGAAGGUGUGGAAAGCGUCAAAGCAGAC